rnacentral:pre_miRNA from 1 species
CACAUACUCCCUCCGUCCAGAAAUACUUGUCACCGAAAUGAAUAAAAAUGAAUGUAUCUAAAACUAAAAUACGUCUAGAUACAUCCAUUUCUUCGACAAGUAUUUCCGUACGGAGGGAGUAUAUA